GAGAACAGACUGGCCAGUCGAACCACGAACACCGUGCAACCAGUACCCAGUAACAUAGCUCAAGCACGGCGUUUAUGGUUUGACUGCGUUCGAGGUUUGA